CUCUGUAACGAAUAGGAAGGACAAUGUAAUAAAAAGUGUUUUUCGUCUUCUACGCUUCCAGUUCUGCAAACUUUACAAGGUCGUCUAUCAGCUGGGACUCCCCGGCAACGCCCUUUCUCGAUUUCAAGGGGGAAAACACCACAUCUCAGUCUUGCAAUUGCUGAUCUUUCAUGGCGUGAAAUACCUGAUUUUAGGUACGGUUGAACACUGUAUGUAGUGUUCAAAUCUCUAUACGUGCGGAGUUUUGGCAUAGCUUCUACGUCUUUUUCCCAUAUGAUCUGGUACUUUUUCAUUAGCAUGUCUUUUGCAAAAUUACUAAUAAACUUGGUACCAAGU
rnacentral:lncRNA from 1 species